rnacentral:rRNA from 1 species
AUUGAACGCUGGCGGCAGGCUUAACACAUGCAAGUCGAGCGGGGUGAUGGUGCUUGCACUAUCACUUAGCGGCGGACGGGUGAGUAAUGCUUAGGAAUCUGCCUAUUAGUGGGGGACAACAUCUCGAAAGGGAUGCUAAUACCGCAUACGUCCUACGGGAGAAAGCAGGGGAUCACUUGUGACCUUGUGCUAAUAGAUGAGCCUAAGUCGGAUUAGCUAGUUGGUGGGGUAAAGGCCUACCAAGGCGACGAUCUGUAGCGGGUCUGGGAGGCUGAUCCGCCGCACUGGGACUGAGACACGGCCCAGACUCCUACGGGAGGCAGCAGUGGGGAAUAUUGGACAAUGGGGGGAACCCUGAUCCAGCCAUGCCGCGUGUGUGAAGAAGGCCUUAUGGUUGUAAAGCACUUUAAGCGAGGAGGAGGCUUACCUAGUUAAUACCUGGGAUAAGUGGACGUUACUCGCAGAAUAAGCACCGGCUAACUCUGUGCCAGCCGCCGCCGUAA